rnacentral:rRNA from 1 species
CCUACGGGAGGCAGCAGUGGGGAAUCUUGCGCAAUGGGCGAAAGCCUGACGCAGCAACGCCGCGUGCGGGAAGAAGGCUUUCGGGCUGUAAACCGCUUUCAGCAGGAACGAAAAUGACGGUACCUGCAGAAGAAGGAGCGGCCAACUAUGUGCCAGCAGCCGCGGUGAUACAUAGGCUUCAAGCGUUGUCCGGAUUUAUUGGGCGUAAAGAGUUCGUAGGCGGUCGAGUAAGUCGGGUGUGAAAAUUCUGGGCUCAACCCAGAGACGCCACCCGAUACUGCUUAACUUGAGUUCGAUAGGGGAGUGGGGAAUUCCUAGUGUAGCGGUGAAAUGCGCAGAUAUUAGGAGGAACACCGGUGGCGAAGGCGCCACUCUGGAUCGAUACUGACGCUGAGGAACGAAAGCAUGGGUAGCAAACAGGAUUAGAUACCCUGGUAGUCCAUGCCGUAAACGGUGGGCACUAGGUGUGGGAUUCUAUUAACGAAUUCCGCGCCGUCGCUAACGCAUUAAGUGCCCCGCCUGGGGGUAGGUACGGUCGCGAGACGUAAACUUAAAUAGAGUAAGUAGCGUUGAGAGUUGCGACGGCGACGACGAGGGAGGAGG